CGAGGGGUUACAGGAGUCAAACGGCGCCGCAUCAUUGGGCGGUUACCCCGCACCAAUGCAGACGCCUCCCUUCUCCUCCCCCUCGUAUGCGUGUCUCUGGGCGGGUAACAUUGGGGGGGUGGUCCCUAUAAGAGGGUGUAACCUAUGGCAGGUACAGGCAUUUGGCUCUUCACAUGUCAUCACUCCAUGCAGCACACUCGGAACUCACAGCCAUCAUUCCUUACCGACCACAGUGCAUUCAAUACACCAUGCCUCAUGCCUGUGCCACCUGGGUGCGCUCUCCUGACGGGCCCUGCACCCCUCAUUCUCCAGCCCUAGUCCCCGGCAGUGACCACCCCAAUCCUGGGGUCCAUCCGGAGCUUCACUCUAGUGCCAGCGGCAAUCGGCAACCUGAUAACCAAUGUAAUGCAUGCCUGCUCCUGAUGAGCGACCAACAGUCGCGAAACGCGUAGAGCUCUAUACCUCAUGCAUUAAUGUAUUAUCACUGCAGUGUCAUGCGAUGUAAUUUCCAUUUUAAUAUGU